CUCAGGGGCCUGCAGGUAGAGAUGGGGUCCAAGGCCCUGUGGGUCUCCCAGGGCCUGCUGGUCCUGCUGGCUCUCCUGGAGAAGAUGGAGACAAGGGUGAAAUUGGUGAACCAGGCCAAAAGGGCAGCAAAGGUGACAAAGGCGAAAAUGGUCCUCCUGGUCCCCCGGGUCUUCAAGGCCCUGUUGGUGCUCCUGGAAUUGCUGGAGGAGAUGGUGAGGCAGGUCCCCGAGGACAGCAGGGAAUGUUUGGACAAAAAGGUGAACCAGGAGAAGCAGGGAACCCAGGACCCCCUGGAGAAGCCGGAUCAGGUGGUCCCAAAGGAGAGAGAGGAGAGAAAG
rnacentral:lncRNA from 1 species